AUAAAUAAAUACAUUUGUAAAAAAAAAAAAAUGUAAAAGUGUGAUUGCUUCUCCGGACUUACCGGACGGAAGAGAGAAGAAGAGGACAAACUAACUCUUGGGAAUGGCAACGGAUCUGCACCACCACCUGAAGGGAGUUCUCCACGAACGGAAAGUAAAGGCAGUGACACACCCGUAAUUUAUGUUAUAGUUAAAAGUUACUCACCUUUACUCACGUCUCUCUAUCACACACCUAGGUCCGGGCUACCGCAGGGGGGCAGGAAAGCAGAGAAAGACAAAAACCAAGUCCAAGCCCGAGGUAGUAGCCCUACAAGGAAACAUAGCCUCGUCCUCUGGAGCAGAGGAAGAAAUACAGCCUCCGAAAACAGGGAAAUAUCCGAUGAAGACACCUGCGAAGGGUUAUACACGACGGAGGAAGGAAGGAGCGACCAGAGACUACCGGAUAUAUUUGAAGCCCCGUCAGAGGGAACCUGGAAGGGAUUCUCCUCGGGCACCCCCAACAGGGAUGGGGAACAACCUCCACACCCCUCUAUCGAGGUCGACCUGCCCAAAGAAUGAAAGGGACAGUUCGGCACCGCUCAGCAUAGAGACCCAGACCUACGGGAUGCCAUGAGGAAGGUGAAGGAUGGGAGAAAUGUUGACAUAUCAGUGCCGGAUCGAGGAAUGGGAAUGCAGACGCCCUGUCCCGAAGCGACCAAGACGGCGCUUCUGGCGCCCGACCCUCCGGUCCGUUCCUGAGGGGGGAGACAGGGAGGGAACCAGCAGUGGGGGAGACUGGAGGGAAAAAAGAGUGAUUGCUUCUCCAAAGGAGAAGACUUACUGGACGGAUGGGAGAAGAGGACAAACUACCUCUUGGGAAUGGCAACCACGGAUCCGCACCACCACCUGAAGGGAGUUCUCCACGAACGGAUAGUUAAGGCGGUGACACACCCGUAAUUUAUG